UAGGGAAUAUUGGGCAAUGGACGGAAGUCUGACCCAGCCAUGCCGCGUGCAGGAAGAAGGCCUUCUGGGUUGUAAACUGCUUUUAUCUAGGAAGAAAACGCCCAUGCGUGGGAAACUGACGGUACUAGAUGAAUAAGCACCGGCUAACUCCGUGCCAGCAGCCGCGGUAAUACGGAGGGUGCAAGCGUUGUCCGGAUUUAUUGGGUUUAAAGGGUGCGUAGGCGGCCCGUUAAGUCAGUGGUGAAAGCCUCCAGCUCAACUGGAGAACUGCCAUUGAUACUGGCGGGCUUGAGUACAGACGAGGUUGGCGGAAUUGAUUGUGUAGCGGUGAAAUGCAUAGAUACAAUCAAGAACACCGAUUGCGUAGGCAGCUAACUAGGCUGUAACUGACGCUGAGGCACGAAAGCGUGGGGAGCGAACA
rnacentral:rRNA from 1 species